rnacentral:rRNA from 1 species
GUGUCAGCCGCCGCGGUAAUACAGAGGGUGCAAGCGUUGUUCGGAAUUAUUGGGCGUAAAGGGAGUGUAGGCGGUCUUUUAAGUCUUCUGUGAAAUCUACGGGCUUAGCCUGUAACGUGCAGAGGAAACUGAAAGGCUUGAGUGUCGGAGAGGAUAGGGGAAUACCCAGUGUAGAGGUGAAAUUCGUAGAGAUUGGGUGGAACACCAGUGGCGAAGGCGCCUAUCUGGCUGACAACUGACGCUGAGACUCGAAAGCAUGGGGAGCAAACAGGAUUAGAUACCCUGGUAGUCC